UAGAAGCCGAUGAAGGACGUUACUAACGACGAUAUGCUUUGGGGAGCUGUAAGUAAGCUUUGAUCCAGAGAUUUCCGAAUGGGGAAACCCAGCAUGAGUUAUGUCAUGUUAUCGAUAUGUGAAUACAUAGCAUAUCAGAAGGCACACCCGGAGAACUGAAACAUCUUAGUACCCGGAGGAAGAGAAAGAAAAUUCGAUUCCCUUAGUAGCGGCGAGCGA
rnacentral:rRNA from 1 species